rnacentral:lncRNA from 1 species
CUGGCCUCUCCAGACCCCUCUCCCCUCCCAGACAUCCCCUGUGAGAAAGGAGGGAGAGGGUGUUCCUGACCUUCAGGAAACCUGCCAAUCUCUUAUACCCAUCUUACAGAAGAUAAGGAAGAGACAACUGGUUAUGAACUAAGUCAAAGCCUCAGGUAAAGUACAAGUUCUUCUAGAUAGGGGAAUUGAGCAUGCAGAUCCUAAAAUUCCUAGAGAACACCGCAGGAUGCCUGCUGCACCAUUUGCCGCACCGUUCUGAAAACCGACAUUUGUUCAGGUACAUUGAUCAGGAAAGGGAACAUUUGCACAUUUAUUGAGAGGAAAUUAAAUGGCAAGUAUUGUUAUGUGACUGGAAUGUAACAUUCCAUACUCUACCUGGUAACUUCCAAGGCUUUAUUUUGGGGGGUGGGGAGAACGAAGGACUUACUACCCUCUGUGGCUUCCUUAUGGUCACAUGAGGCAAAUCCUUUAUGAGAAGCACCAGGCUUCUAAAAGACUAGUGAUCGGCUGCAUGACAUGUCCAAUGAGAAAUUUUAAUUUUCUCAUAUGAUUCAUAGUUGUAAUUAUUUAUUUAUUUAUUUAUUUAUUUAUUUAUUUAU